AAGAGCCAUGGAACGGUGAUGUCCCAUUAGACACCUGGCGCGCUACUUCAUGUUGGGUACCCUCGUUCCAAUACGUUAUAAAAGAUCCGGCUGGCUUACAUCAUGUGCUAACGAGACGGAGAUUUUUGGACAUAAAUGAUGAGCUUUUUUGAACAAAACUACAUUCGUUAUGGACCUGUGAUACCUGGAAGUGACAUCUGAUGAAGAGAAUCAAAGAAUCACGCACAUGAAUUGAUGGAGUCAGCAGGAGCUUCAGCGCCAGCCCUGUCCAUGGAAGAAAGGGUUGCCCGGGAGUCCAGAAGGCAGGCGGAGCACUCCUUUGACAUCUCAGGCCGGUGGUAGCUGGUCCGAUGCAGGACGAUGAGGUGCAGGAGGUCCCUCCGCCCUUCCUGGACAUCGGGGGGGCCCGGCGUACACAGUCCGGUCCAUCUUGGACUCCAGGUGCUGGGUGAGGGGCCUGCAGUACCUCGUGGACUGGGAGGGGUACGGCCCGGAGGAGAGGUGCUGGGUACGUGUGGAGGACAUAUUGGACCCAGCGCUAAUCCGGGAGUUCCACAGCCUCCAUCCGGAUCGCCCUGCGCAUCGCCCUCCGGGGCAUCCUCGAGGCCGGCGUCGGCUCGCUGUGGGAGCCGCGCGUCGGGGGGUACUGUCACGACACCGACGGAAGGUGGCGCCCCUCCUUGCCCGGGCGGCGCUCGGCGGUCGUCGUCGGCGGCCUACUAGCUGCCAUUGAUCCUCUGUUUCACUUUCUGUUGGUUAGGUCUAGGUUAGGCACGCACCUGUUUUGUAUUUGUUGUUAGUGGGGGGGGUAUUUAGUCUAGCUAG
rnacentral:lncRNA from 1 species